GUCCUCCUCAAGAAAAAAAUCCUCCCCCAGUGGGAAAAAUGCCUUUUCGAAAAAGUUCACAAUAAGUUCUACCAAGAAAUGAUAGUCAACAGUCUCAGCAUACUUAACGCUGUGUAUAAUCCUAGGAACGAUAUUAACGUAAAGGACUGGAAUGUGUUCCUGGUGGGAGAGAAGGCCGCUGGCAAGAUGAUGAUUGUAAAGUGAUGCUGUUACAGUGGACACAUGGGGACAUCUGGGAAGGCGUCUACCCCACCUCAGAUGUUCCCCCGGGAAUAAUAGUCAGCCCCCUCCAUUUCUGGGUUUUCCAGGUGACUCAGAGGUCCUUGGACAACCUGACUUUGAAAUUAACAGACAUCCCCCGACCUGGCUGGGAGUCUGAGAUGGAGAGCAGCAUGUGAUAAACACUGAGAAUCUGUUUUGGCCUGAAGAGGGAAGGCAGGAAGAAUGACAUGGAGAAGAGGCACAUACUCUGUGUGGGACCGAGGCUGUAACCCUCCCGCGGUUUUAUCUUUCUGCAGGUUGACCUGUGUCUCGGUGGGUACCUGGUUUGAAGACGUGUUCAAGUCUAUUGUUCAUAACCAGAAUCUGAUGUCCCUGAGCCUGGACUGUGUGCCCCAUUCCCUAGAGAUGAUCUCACUUUUGGGUGAGGCCUUGGAGAAUCCGGUUUGCAGCAUAUGCAGCAUCUGAGGCAUAGAACACCCCGGUCAAACCUGAGAGCCUGGGGCUUCCUCGGAGGUUCAGUGGCUGGGACUCCACACUUCCACUGUAGCAGGCAACUCUGACCCUGAGAAAACAAAAAUAUACCAAGAAAAAAGCCUGAAGUUUUUAUCUUGACUGGGAGAUACACAGCCCACUAACCUGAGACUUCAGCCUUGGGUAAAUUUGUUGAAAAGCAAGCCAAGGAAAAGAAAAGGGGCAAGAGACAUUUUAUAAUAAAUA